rnacentral:rRNA from 1 species
UGAUGGAGCGACGCCGCGUGGAGGAAGAAGCCUUUCGGGGUGUAAACUCCUUUUUCGAGGGAUGACACCCGUGGAGUGCAAGCUCCGCGGUACGACAGUACCUCGAGAAUAAGCAUCGGCUAACUACGUGCCAGCAGCCGCGGUAAUACGUAGGAUGCUAGCGUUGUCCGGAUUUACUGGGCGUAAAGCGCGCGCAGGCGGCAGAGCAAGUACACCGUGAAAUCUCCCCGCUCAACGGGGAGGGAGCGAUGUAGACUGCUCAGCUAGAGGACGGUAGAGGGGGGUGGAAUUGCUGGUGUAGCGGUGAAAUGCGUAGAGAUCAGCAGGAACACCCGUGGCGAAGGCGGCCCCCUGGGCCGAACCUGACGCUGAGGCGCGAAGGCUAGGGGAGCGAACGGGAUUAGAUACCCCGGUAGUCCUAGCAGUAAACGAUGGCCACUAGGUGUGGGGGGUGUUGACCCCUUCCGUGCCGAAGCUAACGCAUUAAGUGGCCCGCCUGGGGAGUACGGUCGCAAGACUAAAACUCAAAUG